rnacentral:lncRNA from 1 species
GACGGGAUCUGUUUCAUUUAUUUUAUCCUCUGGUCUUGUUGAGUAGCGGUUUUCUUUUUCUCUCUUUGGGGUUUUAUGUGUUAGUUUUGUUCGUUCGUGGUUGAUGUGUUUGUUGAUUCGAUAUCUGGGAGGGUUGGGUGUUGAUGAUGAUGAUGAUGAUGAUGAUGAUGGUGAUGGUAUUCAUGAUUAUGAUGAUUAUUUUGUGAUUCAUUGUUCUGGUGUUCACACGUGUACGUAGAUGACCUUGAUGAUUUCAUUGUACAUCUAAUAAUUGAAAGAAUAAAACAGUUUGUCAUU